CCUACGGGAGGCAGCAGUGGGGAAUAUUGCACAAUGGGGGGAACCCUGAUGCAGCAACGCCGCGUGGGUGAAGAAGUACUUCGGUAUGUAAAGCCCUGUCAGCAGGGAAGAAAAUGACGGUACCUGACCAAGAAGCCCCGGCUAACUACGUGCCAGCAGCCGCGGUAAUACGUAGGGGGCAAGCGUUAUCCGGAUUUACUGGGUGUAAAGGGAGCGCAGACGGCAAGGCAAGUCUGGAGUGAAAGCCCGUGGCUCAACCACGGGACUGCUUUGGAAACUGUGUUGCGGGAGUGCAGGAGGGGUAAGCGGAAUUCCUAGUGUAGCGGUGAAAUGCGUAGAUAUUAGGAAGAACACCGGUGGCGAAGGCGGCUUACUGGACUGUAACUGACGUUGAGGCUCGAAGGCGUGGGGAGCAAACAGGAUUAGAUACCCUAGUAGUC
rnacentral:rRNA from 1 species